UUUCGUGUGUUUUGGUUUUCCUAGCGAGUGAAACGCCAGAUCUAUCCCCUUGGGCCAAGUUGGCGUAUUUAAAACACUGUUCUGGACUUAAACGACGAUUGUUACUUUUAGCUUUGCAUUGUCACCGAGGAAGGAUAAAGCAAGGCUCUAGGCCUAGAUCUAUAACUCAAGAGCACCUUUCUGCGCAGCUGACCCUUCGAGGAGUCUCUGUCUCUGCGUGGGUCUAUACUUACGACGUCGCUGCACGUGUCUGACGAGCACCUGUCUGCGUAGCUGACCCCUCGAGGUGUCUCUGUCUGUGCGUGGGUCUAUACUCACCACGUAGCUGCACGUACGUGACGGUGAGUAGAAACACUUGGCUCGCCUGUAUUU